rnacentral:ncRNA from 1 species
UCUCGAUAAAGGCAAAGCCGGUGAAAAUCGGUGACGCAAAGCUACAGGGGCUAAGACGCGCAAGCGUUAUUGCCAGCCAGCUGCCGAA